UUUACAAAGAAGGAUCUGCGAUAUCACGUUUCCAAUAUUCGAAGGACCCGCCUUACUUUCUGCAGAGUGGACGAGAAAAAAAAUUACUAGGGACUGCAGGGCUCUCGGUGUUUCGAAUUGUAUAUCUGGAACUCGAAUAACUAACGAGUUGUGUGAAUUACGGGAAUGAAAAAGCUCCAAUCUCAUUAUUAGUGGAGGCGCGCGCGUAGGGCUCUUGCGGUGGUUUCGAAAUCGUCCUCGCAGCAUGCGACUAAUUGCAAAUAAGUGUCGGGCUUAGGCCAAAAUGAGCCUCAGGAUAUUGAGCCUCUGGAGUUAGAAAUCGAACAAGAAAUAUGCUAUGUAGGAUUUUGAGAGACGCACUGGUUGUACGGUUAUACCUGAGGACGGAAUUAUAAUUACAUCCCAGUUCAAAUAAGAUUCCAACUGAAAGCCAACUUCAUCUCGCAGUCCUGCAGGAAUCUCGCAAGGAAUUAUAAAUAUAAAUUCUAUGGAGACACUUGAAUUUAAUUACCUGUAUACACGUCCACGUGUAUGGCGGUACAAAAACUUAUUUUUCAAGGGACAAAAAAAAGAUCUACUCAAUGGAGUAACGCAAUUUUCUUUGCUUUGCGUACCUUUAUCCGUUUCAGGCUGAUCGGCCGCAGGGUAUACCAAAAAGUUACAGUGUUUGAGGAAAUUAUCCAAGGACUUUUAACGCGACCCAAACCCUGGGGCGUUGUUCCAGGGAAGUGUCCUCGACACUUAUACUCCGUCGAGAUGAUGACGCCUGUGCAAUGCCUCCAGCUUUUUCACCGACUGCUGCACGACGCGGGCGUGAAGUGACCUCGUAUCUUUUAGCGAAACCCCCUCGAGCUAGAUGCUCAAUUUAAUACGAACUCUGUCGCUUUUUAAGGACAAUUGUUCGGUCCGAUUUAUCCUCAAUGCCUCGAAUGCUGGAAGGGGUCGGAGAUUCCGUCAUUAUCUAAAAAAUCCUUUUUAAAUUAUCGUCGUCCCGAUGCAGACUUCGGAGGUUUUCGAUCGGGUAAGCGUUUAUCACGACGAUAUUUUUCAGAAACAUUUUCAAACUCCAGGUAUUACAACGCAAUGUGUACAAGGAUAUUGCAUACAAGAGACGUUGUUGUCUCCUGAGUAGGGAUUGGGAGGGAAAAGAGUAUUCAAAUUUUAGUUCCCUCAGCUCAACUUGCGGAAGAAAUUAUAUUACCGCGCGCUAUUUUGCAAUUUUCACACCUACGUAUACCUACGUAGGUUGAUGAUACAUAUUUACAUAGAAAUUCACUCAUUACAAUUACAGCACUAAAUCUAUUGUAAAAAUAAUAAUUAUUAUCAAAGGGAAUGAUCGAAAAUUUAUCGCGCUUUUAAAAUUUCAUAGAGUCAAAUGAUUCGUUCAGUUCCAUUUUCCUCGUUUAUUAUAUACUACAAAGGUGAAUUUUUAUUUUUAUUUCAAUGUUAUUCCUUUUCUGUUCCAGUGACGUGAUUUCGUUCGGAUUCGUCCUUCGCGGGUGAUCGCGGGAUCUGAACUGCGGAGGCUUUUCAGAGGAGGGUUGGUUGAAAUUAUUACGGCGAAACUCACGCGUUCAUGCGAAACUCACGCGCAUGUCUUGCAGUGACUCAAUUCCGUGUGACACUCACAGGCUCGGGACCUACACGGCAAUCAACGUGGACUUACAAUUCUCAAAGGACUGAAAACGAACAUUGCUUCUGUGAUUUCUGGGAAAAUAAAAUGGAUUCCGCCGUGCCUACGCAGAGCUACGCCUACGGUACAGGAUUUAUCCCCGGAGUGUCCUUGACGUUUACCCGCUGGUAAAUGGACGACGCGAAUAGAGUUCCACAAGAAAUCUUCACCGCUGUGGGCAAUUUUCCGCAUGACGAAGGACCACGACGGCGAUAUUAUUGUGAAUCAAACUUGUACGUAAUCCUGCUUAUGCAGUGGUUGGUCUCGGUCGUGUAUUUUGUACACAUACACAGAAUGUUCCGGGAACGAGAUUCGAUGAAAAGUGUUGCAGUUGGUGGAUUUCUGACUUUCUAUAUGUAUGUACGUGGGCACAUACGUAUCUUUUGAGGGUUGAUAUCGAAAUCUCCCAAGUUCCCUAUGCGCUUAUCGAUCCUAUACUCUCAAUCGGUAAUGACUUUCGGGAUCAGACAUGUUCCAUGUGCGGUAAAAUAUACGUACGAACUUCCCUUCUUAUUCGGUCUCUCUGCAACCCUUAUCGAUCCAUCUUACAUAUAUUUACUACACAUUGUCAUACGAUAUGCAGGCUCACCUUGUGCGGAUCGAGGGGGAUGGGCGGAACCGUAGAUGGACGAUGAUGGACAGAUGCGGUAAUCCAUCCUAAGCUGCUGCUUCGACGAGCGGCCAUUGCCAACGAACAUUAUCGCUGCGAUUACCACCUUCCACUGUGGUAAAUCGAUCCAAAAAUACCGCACACCCAUACCAUCCACCCGUGCUGAUUAUGUCUGCGGCAGCAGCGACCUCCUUAUGGCAACUGUAUGUAUAUUCUUGGCACAAUUCUUGUACCAGCACGUGAUCGCCAGCUGGCUCAUCAUUGACGAACUUAUUUGAAAUCCCCAUUCAAUAUUAUCAUCGUCAUCAUCAUCAUCAUCAUCAUCAUCAUUAAGAAGGUGGCAAAAUCUUGCGAGUGAUUCUGAGUCGCCUGUAUCCAGAGUAUAAACAUUUAGAACUAGUGAUAAUAAUGGAUUCUAUGAUCGGUGAAAGAUUGAGAGAUGCAUACAGAAAAGAAGAAUCAGAAUUAAGAAGAUUCAGGUGUUAGGGUGCACGCACAGAGGGGACGGGGGGCAACGCCCACUAAAAACUAAAGUGUACAAAGAGGAGAGAGAGAAGAAAUGAAAGGAGGGAAAAAAAAAAAUCGACUUCUUCGCUGCUGCGUGUCUAAAACGCGACUCACGUUUGUGCGAAUGGUUCGCCGUUGGGUUACCCGCCUGAACGAAGCGAUUUAACUCUAGAUAGCUGCUGCUGGCUCCCAAGCUCUCUACGCGCCUGACUCUACUUGCGUUUAUUGUGCGCGUGAGCCAUGAGAAAUCCAAACCUUCGAAAUUCCCUACAAGGGUGGCGAAUACGACGUCGAGGAAACGGGGAUCCGCGAGAAAAAGAGGAGAGGGAAGAGGACUCGAGGAGAUGAAACCAUCAUUGAAUCUAGGGUGAGAAAGAAAAUCCUAAAAUAUCGAUGCAAGGACAUCUUUGGUACUGCAAUAAUUCUUGAAUUCAAGAAUAGAGUUUUCACUCUGUUGGUGGAGAGGUGAAAAUUAGGAAAGCAAAGUAACGCCCGCAGCGAGCUUUUACUUAAAUUCAGUACGUAGUCGGGGAAACUGGGAAACCUGUAUGGACUUGGAGAGUCAGAGUGGAAACUGCUGCCGCAAGCUCAAAUUAUAUCGACUGAUUGUAACUGCGAACAACGCACCGUUCUCCAUUCUCCAUUUUCAUACACAUUUUCACAUUUCACAAACAACGAUCGUAUAUAUAUCUUUUAUUGGUGCAUGUACGUACCCGAGGUACGUUUGUUCAAAAACGCGCAUUUCGUAGAAACUAGUUACAGAGCAAUCCAGUCGAUCAUUGAUAUGCUUCGUUCGAUAUUCCAAUGGGUGUUGUAGGAAGAUAAUUCCGAGAGGCUGCCUGCGUGCAAAUUAUUUUUUUCCCCCAUUUCCUCGUUCUCACCAUGCUCCCUUCUACGCGCUUUAUUUUUAUACUUCAUCUCAUCGUGCGAAUUUAUCUCCCAACGCGUAUUCCCCAAGAUAAUAUACUUCGGUGUAUAACAUAAGGUUUAGGUCGGGUUUGCUUGCGGGUGAGAUAAGCGACGAAUGGUGGGAUAAUUGAUGGCCCUCCCACAUGUAGCCAUAGGUAUAUGUAUAGGACAUAAACUUAUGAUCGGACAUGUAGCGAACCGCCACCACAAGUAUCUGGUUGCAGAAUGAUAUUUCCGGUAAAAGAAAUUUCAAAUUCAGAAAGAAUUUUCAGUAAUGCGCGGUGAAGGAGUGGCCGACAAAAAAUGCGAUGAUGGAAAAUUGAUAUCUGGACCUGAUUGUAAAUCCUAUUCGUACACGUAUAAGUAUAGUCGAGGCGCGAGAUUAGAUAUUGAUGACUUGCCGCGCUGAAUAUAACAUUACCGUGCGGCGCAACGGUGGUGGCUACGGUAUAGCAAGUUUUGCCAAAGAACUGGGCAACUAAUAGGCAGACAAUGAGGUCCUGGAGCCAACAAUGUGCCAGAACGAGGUAGAAUGAUGUACAAUAGGUACAAUGGUUCACAAUAGAGAAUACAUCGCGGGUGCCUCGCGACGUUGGAACUGCAUGUAUUGCAUCUUCUUCGUGACGAGAAUCAUAUAACUAAGUACAUACAUACGUGUAUAAAGCCUCUGCGUACUCGCUCUGAUAUAUACGUAGCCAUAACUUUUAUACGACCACAUCUACAACCCCCACCAGGCUAACAACCAAAUCGGCGAAAUUCAGGUGUUCCGAAAAUCUGACUGACUGACAAUCAGAGAGAAAUCGAGAAUAGAAUAUUUCACGCCCAUUGAAAAAUCCAGGGAAAACUAAAUUCGAUGCAGUAUUUGAAGCUCGGUAUUUGGAAUCCAAGUCUCAACGCGGAAAUCAAUUUCUCCUUUGCCAAUGUCACCUAUAGAGGAGUGACAUAAUCUACCUCCACGGAUUGAUUCCUUCGCAACGAAGAAAUUUUACGGCUCGUACGAACCGAAAGGGACAAACGAAUGCCGGCCUGUACUAUGCCAUAUGACGUAUAACGUUUCUUCGGUUAUCCGGCUCCUCUUCGCGCGUGAAUUGAACAAAUUACAGAAGAAUGCUCGUUGACACGUGAGUGCGUGGGUGGAGUACAUCGCAUACCACUACAGGACGAGGGAUGUUGUGAAAAGGGGCCUUAUACUUGCGGACUCCCCACAUC
rnacentral:lncRNA from 1 species